UACGGAGGGUGCAAGCGUUAUCCGGAUUUACUGGGUUUAAAGGGUGCGUAGGUGGGUCUGUAAGUCAGUGGUGAAAUCUCCGAGCUUAACUCGGAAACUGCCAUUGAUACUAUAGGUCUUGAAUUAUCUGGAGGUGAGCGGAAUAUGUCAUGUAGCGGUGAAUGACUUAGAUAUGACAUAGAACACCAAUUGCGAAGGCAGCUCACUACGGAUAUAUUGACACUGAGGCACGAAAGCGUGGGGAUCAAACAGG
rnacentral:rRNA from 1 species